GAUGAACGCUGGCGGCGUGCCUAAUACAUGCAAGUCGAGCGAACGGACGAGAAGCUUGCUUCUCUGAUGUUAGCGGCGGACGGGUGAGUAACACGUGGAUAACCUACCUAUAAGACUGGGAUAACUUCGGGAAACCGGAGCUAAUACCGGAUAAUAUUUUGAACCGCAUGGUUCAAUAGUGAAAGACGGUCUUGCUGUCACUUAUAGAUGGAUCCGCGCUGCAUUAGCUAGUUGGUAAGGUAACGGCUUACCAAGGCAACGAUGCAUAGCCGACCUGAGAGGGGGAUCGGCCACAUGGGAACGGAGACACGGUCCUGACGCCUACGGGAGGCAGCAGUAGGGAAUCUGCCGCAAUGGGCGAAAGCCUGACGGAGCAACGCCGCGUGAGUGAUGAAGGUCUUCGGAUCGUAAAACUCUGUUAUUAGGGAAGAACAUAUGUGUAAGUAACUGUGCACAGCUUGACGGUACCGAAUCAGAAAGCCACGGCUAACUACGUG
rnacentral:rRNA from 1 species